ensembl:lncRNA
UCUUUCGGAAUAAAGAUGAAGAUGACUCAAUGGUAGAAGCUUCCUGGUGUCUUGUCUACCACUUCUUGAGGUUCAAAGUGAAGGUUUGUCAGUCCAAGAUGGUGUCACGUAGCUUGCUACUCUGGACUUCAGGAGAGCUGACUUUGAACUCUACAGGGAGCUGCUUGGCAGGAUGACAUGGGAGAAAGCCCUGGCAGGAGGAAGGGUCCAAGAAAGCUGGUCAGUACUCAAGGACCUUUUCCUCCAAACCCAGAAGCAGUGCAUCCUGAGAAAGAAGAAGUUUCCUCAACAGGCCUCAAGUAUUGUGCAGAGAGGAAUUACGAGGCUACCUCUGCAGCUCUUCCCAAGCACUAUGAGGAAGGGGAUACCACCAUGCCUUUUCUUGACCUAUGGGUGUUACAUUUUAUGUGAUGCAUUUCUUUCUCAAGUGAUAAAAGACAACCAUAGAAUCACAGAAUCAUAAUCACCAAGGUUGGAAAAGACCUCCAAGAUCAUCCAGUCCAACCGUCCAUCUACCUUCACUAUUUCCCACUAAACCACGUCCCUUGGUACAACAGCUGAAUGUUUCUUGAAGACCUCCAGGGACGGUCAUUCAACCACAUCCCUGAGCUGAUGGUGCAAGUAUCUUCAUCUUGGUCCCUUGCCCAGAGAUGGACAACUCAUGCUUCAAGUCCAUGUCUUGUGCCAAAACUGUUGAGUUGGGCUGUAAGAAAAAGUAAACCUCAUAAUAAGGGCCAAUUUGAAACAGUAGAUGACAUUGAGACUGUCUUCAUGAACUGCUUUGGAACCUGACUGAAAACUCACCCCAGGAUAUUUCUAUACAACAGACAAACCACCACC